rnacentral:misc_RNA from 1 species
AAAGUCGUAACAAGGUUUCCGUAGGUGAACCUGCGGAAGGAUCAUUAUUAUAUUUGGGUAGUGGUUUACUGCUAGAAGUCGUUGUUUGGUUUUGUGUGGUUUGGUUUUCCUGCCUUUAAUUAGGUAUAGCUCCUUAUGUCUUCUAGCAGUAACCUCGCCCCAAAUAUAAAGGAGCAAGAUACCUUUAUAUUUAAAACCCACUCUUAAAUAUUUAUUUUUAUUUUAAAUGAUAAAUUAAAGAUCACUUUCAACAACGGAUCUCUUGGCUCUC